UACGUAGGGGGCUAGCGUUGUCCGGAAUCAUUGGGCGUAAAGCGCGUGUAGGCGGUCCGGUAAGUCCGCUGUGAAAGCCAGGGGCUCAACCCUUGGAUGCCGGUGGAUACUGUCGGGCUCGAGUACGGAAGAGGCGAGUGGAACUCCUGGUGUAGCGGUGGAAUGCGCAGAUAUCAGGAAGAACACCAACGGCGAAGGCAGCUCGCUGGGACGGUACUGACGCUGAGACGCGAAAGCGUGGGGAGCGAACAGG
rnacentral:rRNA from 1 species